AUUGAACGCUGGCGGCAGGCCUAACACAUGCAAGUCGAGCGGGGUUUUCGGACCUAGCGGCGGACGGGUGAGCAAUGCGUAGGAAGCUACCCGAUAGAGGGGGAUACCAGUUGGAAACGACUGUUAAUACCGCAUAAUGUCUACGGACCAAAGUGUGGGACCUUCGGGCCACAUGCUAUCGGAUGCGCCUACGUGGGAUUAGCUAGUUGGUGAGGUAAUGGCUCACCAAGGCGACGAUCCCUAGCUGGUUUGAGAGGAUGAUCAGCCACACUGGAACUGAGACACGGCCCAGACUCCUACGGGAGGCAGCAGUGGGGAAUAUUGGACAAUGGGCGCAAGCCUGAUCCAGCCAUGCCGCGUGUGUGAAGAAGGCCUUCGGGUUGUAAAGCACUUUCAGUAGGGAGGAAGCGUUGUGUGUUAAUAGUACACAGCGUUGACGUUACCUACAGAAGAAGCACCGGCUAACUCUGUGCCAGCAGCCGCCGUAAAAC
rnacentral:rRNA from 1 species